UUGGGAAACUAAAGUGCUUAAACAUUUGGUCUGGAAUUUGCGAAAUCCCUUAAGCUGUGUCCGGGAGGAGAAAAAAAAGAGGAAAUCAGCUUGACCGCCGACAUUGAAAUGCAAAUGCAAUCAAUGGCAUAAAAUUCAUAGGCAACCCGAAGCCGAAGCCAAAGCCAGAAAACCUUCGUAUCAGACUACUACAACAGAAUAGUUGAGGACCAGGAAAACAGCAGCAACAACGGCAACAAUGGCAACUAACAGAACCACAACAGAACCUAAAGGCAACCAGGAUACCAACUACCAGCUGAGUGCGUGACCUCGGGUCAGGAAAGGAAUGGGGAGGAUUCAGCUUGGGGCUUUGUACACUUUCAAGCGUGUCGAAACUUUAGACUGGUUCAGGAGGAUGCAUGGCAGGAAAAGAGGCAGGGAAGGGAAUGUUGGCUGAUGGGUUGUUUGGCCAUUUCGCUGCAACAAAAUAAUUUCGCUGGCUCGUUUGUCAAACUAAUGGCAGGAAUUUGAGCAAUUCAAGUAACAAAGGUUAAACAAUGAAUUUCCUGUACGCCAAUAUUGAAUUUAGCUAGCCCGCUUCCUUCAGCCCCACACUUUUUUCGCAUCCCUUGACGUGCUGUGUAAAGAUGUCAUUCAGAAUUACCCCCCCUCACCCCAACUCUCUUAUCCAAUCUCAUACACACAGUUGACUAAACCGACCAAGUGUUGCCAGUAUUGAGCUUGGUCUUGGCCCUGUUUCUGGUCUAUAUCCACUUCCAUCCUGCAGCUGCUGCUGCUGCUGCUGGAACUCACACGCUCCAUUAGCGCGUCCAGAAUGUCGCCUCGAGUGGUUGAGUAGCUUGGACUUUUGCUUUAAUGAAAUAUUUGUAUAUACAUAUACUCGAAUGUAUACUCAAUUCUAAUCUGAAGUAAAUGCUUGCGCGUUAGUCCACAGU